rnacentral:rRNA from 1 species
UACGAAGGGGGCUAGCGUUGUUCGGAUUUACUGGGCGUAAAGCGCACGUAGGCGGAUCUUUAAGUCAGAGGUGAAAUCCCAAGGCUCAACCUUGGAACUGCCUUUGAUACUGGGUAUCUCGAGUAUGGAAGAGGUGAGUGGAAUUCCGAGUGUAGAGGUGAAAUUCGUAGAUAUUCGGAGGAACACCAGUGGCGAAGGCGGCUCACUGGUCCAUUACUGACGCUGAGGUGCGAAAGCGUGGGGAGCAAACAGG